UACGUAGGGUGCGAGCGUUAAUCGGAAUUACUGGGCGUAAAGCGUGCGCAGGCGGUUUUGUAAGCCAGAUGUGAAAUCCCCGGGCUUAACCUGGGAACUGCAUUUGGGACUGCAAGGCUUGAGUACGGCAGAGGGGGGUAGAAUUCCUGGUGUAGCAGUGAAAUGCGUAGAUAUCAGGAGGAAUACCGAUGGCGAAGGCAGCCCCCUGGGUCGAUACUGACGCUCAUGCACGAAAGCAUGGGGAGCAAACAGG
rnacentral:rRNA from 1 species